rnacentral:misc_RNA from 1 species
AAUCCCGACUUCGGAAGGGAUGUAUUUAUUAGAUAAAAAGCCAACGCCCUCCGGGGCUCCUUGGUGAUUCAUGAUAACUUAACGAAUCGCAUGGCCUUGCGCCGGCGAUGGUUCAUUCAAACUUCUGCCCUAUCAACUUUCGAUGUUAAGGUAUUGGCUUAACAUGGUGUCAACGGGUAACGGGGAAUUAGGGUUCGAUUCCGGAGAAGGAGCCUGAGAAACGGCUACUACAUCCAAGGAAGGCAGCAGGCGCGCAAAUUACCCAAUCCCAACACGGGGAGGUAGUGACAAUAAAUACUGAUACAGGGCUCUUAUGGGUCUUGUAAUUGGAAUGAGUACAAUUUAAAUCCCUUAGUUCGAGUCGUUAGGGGAUCGUUAGGUCAACUAUCAGUUGGCAAUGCACCUCUCUGCGAGGAGUUCCGGCCGACUGGCCGGGCAACUCGGCGCCUUCCCGAGGCUCAGAGACUACGUGGGUGCAGGCACCUCUAUGAUGAUUAGGUGUCAUUGGCAUAGUCCAACCUCCCCAAGCACAUUGGCGAGUACAGGUGUAACGAGGAACAAUUGGAGGGCAAGUCUGGUGCCAGCAGCCGCGGUAAUUCCAGCUCCAAUAGCGUAUAUUAAAGUUGUUGCGGUUAAAAAGCUCGUAGUUGAACUUUGGGUCUGGCUGGCCGGUCCGCCUCACCGCGUGCACUGGUUCGGCCGGGCCUUUCCUCCUGGGGAACGGCAUGCCCUUCACUGGGCGUGUCCGGGAACCAGGACUUUUACUUUGAAAAAAUUAGAGUGUUCAAAGCAGGCCUAUGCUCGAA